UCUCUUUUGGCCGAUGAGCUCGAGACCAGGAAAGGUUCCAUCUUUCUCUUUCCUCUUUUCAUUUCUUCCUCUCUUCUUCCCCUCUUUGCUUUUCUUCCACUGGAACAAGCCAACAACAGUCCAACCGUCGAAUGCCCACCUGUUUGAGUUCAAUUUUUUUUUCCCAGAUAUCAUGUCUAUCUGUUGGAUUUAUAUUACAGCAAGAGAAAUGGGACAAAGAAAAACGUAAGCCAUGAAAAGAAGAAGUAGAAAGGGGAAAAAUGGAUCUUCAUCAGAACAUAGGAAGAAGAUGAGAAGAAGAAUAAGCAGAUGAAGAGAAGAGAAUGGAUCUUCAGCCUAAUCGGUGUUGUCCCCGCCGAUUAGUGCUGCUCUCGUACAUAAUCUGGAAAUUUCCUCCACCAUCUU